GUUCGGGUCUAGCUGAUUCUCGCCGGCAUCCCGUGCCCUCGGAGCCGCCCCCGGAGUGGCGGGAUCGACCUGUCUUCCUUCGGCCUUACGGGGGGCGGGUUCGGGGGGUGGCGGUUCACGCAACCCCAGCCGCCCGGGGAUGCCCCGCAAUCGGGGGGCGGGCAGGGGAGCGGCGGGCGGCUGGUUCGGGACACGCGGCGCCCCGAGACUACCUGACCCCGCACGUCGGACUCCCUGCCUCUCCUCGGACGCACGGUUCCCCCCUCGCCCCCCGCCCGCGAGCAAACCGGGGGUGGGAAGUGACUUCAACGAGGUAGAAGUUCAGCUGGACCGAAAGAAGGGCGAGAAGUUCCGCUUGCGAGCCACCUCGGCGGUGAAGCGGAAUGAGUAAUCCCCACGCCGGCCUGUCUCACUUCCUCCUGCGCGCUGGGCGCUCACCUGCUGUCACCUCGGCCGCCUCCGCCCCCAGGCCGCGCCCUCCUCCCUGCGGCCACGUCCGCCCUGCGGCCUCCCACCCCCUAGUACAUCGGCCAGAUCCGAGGCCCCCAGACUUAAGGUGUUAACAGGCCACAAUUUAGUAUCUGGGUGGGCAGCGGUCGCUGUGCAGAAACUUAUGGCGUGAAACGAGGGCUGGCAGGUAUGGUCUUGGCAGGUGAUGGAUGGCGAUUUUAUCUCGAACUGCGUACAAGUUCAGGGAUUUCUGAAAGACCACGUAGAUACCAGCACAAAUACCAAGAAGGUCACGUCUUCAAUAUUCAGUAGAGACUUCGCUCUCCCCUCCUCCCCUCCUUCAAACGAGGAAAUGUCUUUGGGACCAACUUGAGGGAAUACAACUGAGCUGUGUUGCGAAUAAUAAAGAGUUAUGAAUGAACAUUGUAAGAGAUGAUAGAUAAAGAAGUUGAGAAGACUGAAACGUCACAACGUAUUAGAAGUAACAGUCAACCUAGCACAGUGCUGUCACACUGGAAUCAGACCUGCUGGCCAGAGUCCCGUCAGGUUAAGGAAGGCACACCAACAAGAUUAGAGGAGCCUGAGUCCCUGACGCCACAGGAAAGCUUGUAACUUCUGCCUCCACGUCUCUGUUACAGAGACAAGUCAACCGAAAUCUUUUUUCAGCUGCUGUUGUCUCGGGUUUUCUGUCACAUGCAGCCAAAGUUAAUCCUGUUUGGUGUAG
ensembl:lncRNA